GUUAUCCAUUCGUUUGAUGUGUUGGAACUUUUGAUUUUGCCGUUUGAUUAGGGACUUUCGUUUUGAAUUUUCUUCGGAGACCCGUCAGUCCGGUUAUUUUUUAAUUCUUUUUUAACUUUUUUCAACAUUUCAGAUGUUCAAUUAUUCGAAAGUUCACAAAUUGUCACACGAGAACGUGAUCGUAUGGUUAUAUUUUUAUUCUUGAGAAGUAUGAUUCCUGGUGGCGAAUGAAUUCCUACCAACGUAGGGGUGAAAUUCAAUCUUUCUCUUUUUUUUUCUAAGUCUUUUUACACUGUUAAAUUUUCCUUAGCCAUACAAGGUUAUUAAUUAAUCAUGAUUAAUUUCAGGAUAAAUAUAUCAGCGUAAUUGAUGUUAUACAUGUACAAAUGUCAAAUGUGAUUGUAGAACAACAU
rnacentral:lncRNA from 1 species